rnacentral:lncRNA from 1 species
AAAAAAUUCAGAACUUUUUCAAGCCUCGCAUGCGUUUUCUUCCAAUCUACCUUGGAAAAGUGGUUAACCUUUCCUUUUCUGGGUCUCACUAUCGCAGCUUGGACCCCAUCACCCCCUUCCUCAUGAUGAAGAAAUAUCAUGCAAAGAAAUAUCAGGCAAAGCAAGUCUCUGAGAGCUGAGUGGAUGAGGCGCAAGGCAGCAAUUAGAACCAGGGAGGAAGUUGGCAGGAACAGGAGGAUAGUUAUUUUGAGUGCAUUUUUAAAAAACAACAACAACAUAAGGUGAGUCAUAUCUUUAUAAAUUCAUAAAAUUUCCCUCCCACCCGCCUUGGUUCCCAGUCCCAGGAAGGGCCACUGGAUUGUGUGAAGACUGUGAGCUGUGUCCACUGCAUUUCUCCAGCCCAUGCAACCCGGCAUCACGAGGAAGGGGGUAUGGGGUCCAAGCUGCCACAGUGAGACCCAGGAAAGGAAAGACGAACCUCUUUUCCAAGAAGUCACCUGAGUCAGAACCAUUGUUUCAUUCCAUGAUCUGAAGGAGACACCUGCACAAUAGCCAGGUGACGGCCCAGAAACCUCUGUUAACACCUGCUUGCCAGUGGUCCCGCCGUGGGGAGCAAGCCUGCCUCCCCUCACCAAGGCGGGAUUCAUGCUGCUGGUACAGUGUCCGGGGGACUCCCGCCCGGCCCUCCCAGCUGCCAGGAGGCGGUGCCCGCCCACGCCAGCUGCCAGGCUGGCCUCUCCGUGCUCCAGAGCCGCACAGCUCUGAACAGCGGCAGCAGGUGGGAGCCCCACCGGGGAACGCAAUGAAACUCACAGCCGUAAACGAGUUUAUUAUUGUUGUUAACUGGGGAAAUAAAUGUCUCAAGCA